GUACGUUGCACGCUGUGGCCAUUAUUGUGACUCUACUCGAAUUAUUGUGUUACGUAUUAGACAAAAAGAAAGAAAAAAAAGUUUCUAUUAUUAAUUAAGACAUAUAUUACAAAUAUUCUCGUAGAUUGAAUUAAUAUCAAUACUCAUCAUCAUUUGAAAAACUAUCAUAUAACCAUCAAUGACGUUAUUCGAAAGAUUUAUUUCUAACGUAAUGAUAACCAUUGGAUGGAAAUUUGAAGGAAGCUUUUUAGGUCGUAUCAUCUUUAAUCCCUGAGAUCUUUCUGCGCCACCCCUAAAUAAAGAGAGAGAGAGAGAGAGAGAGAGAGAGAGGAAGAGAGAGAAAGAGAGAGAGAGAGAGAGAGAAAGAGAAAAGGCUUCGCAACAGCUGGUAGGUCGCGAGAUACAGAGAGAUUCGAAUUUUUUCGAAUUAUUUUUCUUUCUUUUCUAUUUUCUUUUUUUUUUUUUUCUUCUUCUUCUUUUUCUUUUGCAUAUGAAUGCUAUAUAUUCCAUAUGCAUGCUGAACCCUUUGCCCUAUUGGAAAGAAUUGAAUAAAGUUUAUAAGGAAGGUAAAAACAUCACCACCACGUACACCCCAGUUCUGUGAUGGCGUAUAAGCGGGGAAAAAGAAGUACGCAGCGAUCAAGAACGAGAGAGAAAGAGACAGAGAGACAGAGAGACAGAGAGAGAGAGAGAGAAAGACAGAAAGCGAGAGAGAGAAAAUGCAUGGGUUCCUACGCCGUGAGAACAUGAGAGCGGUAUGAGGAGAUAAGGGGAAGAAUAAAGUUUUCGUAAGAUGACGGAAUGGAAAGUUUACGAUUUUUCUUCAUUAAAAGUAGGAUCCAAAAUAAACGUAAUACUUUUUUCUUGAUGGCAACCUAUGAAGACGGCGACACGACGAACCAUUUUAGUUUUGAUUUGUGCAAUAUCCCAUAUAUCCCAUGGUCUAAAAGGAAUUGUACCGGUUGGCCACGUUCAAGAGAGUGGGGUUACGAAUCGACUCAAAUUUCGGACAGUAUAAAACGCGUCGUCUCCUUUCAUUCUGAGCUGAACAAAGGAACGAUAGAUACCCUCCCUACCAUACGAUAGAAAGAGAGAGAGAGAGAGAGAGAGAGAGAGAGAGAAAAAGAGACAGAGAGAGACAGAGAGAGACCCUACCACCUUUCGUCAAAACGAAUUGAUGACCGCGUGAGAGAGGACUUCAGUUUAAAAAUGGGAAGUAUACAUGAGUAUUCUUCGAAUUUUUUUGUGGUUACCCAAUGAAAAGAAAUCUACGAAACAAUUUGCCGGGGCUCUUGUAAAAGUUCUGCUAGAGUCGUCGACAACUACUAAUACUACCAACACACAACCAACGACGACGGACGACGUGGACUAUGGAACAACACCGACCAACAGAGCCCUCCAAUUUUGUAGGUUCGCGCGUUCUCGUCGACAGAAAAUGUGCAUCGAGCACCCCACCAAAGUGUUUCCUGAACAACGAUGUCUCCAAGAAGAAGACGUAGUAGUAAAAUAAAGUAGACGGUAGUGGCGGCAGUGGCAGUGUGGCAGUGGCGGCACGACAACAGCACGUAUUCUUCGAUUCUCUGAUAAUUCUUGCCAGAAAAGAUAUAAACUGCUAGAGAAAUCCUGACUUGAAGAAGAUGAAGAUGAUGAUGAUGAAGUUGAAGUUGAUAAUGAUGAUUACUAUGACGAUGGGAUGAAGAUUAUGAUGAAGAAGAAGUGAGGAUGCAAACGACGCUUCGCGUAGGACGUUCUCGAGCAAACUGCUGCUCGUGGCCAGGUGUUCCGCCUCUUUAUUCCUUUUGGCUGCCAUAACAACACGGUUGCUUUCAAGGACUAUUCAUCCGGUCGUUUCUUUCCUUCACCUGGGACAGCUGGAACUUAGGACGACCACGUGCUUCUCUCUCAGCUUCAACGAGCAAUCCCAGCAUAGCAGAUUGUACUCGAGUCCUCUUCUUUUCCAUUCUCGCGAGGGGUUGACCUUCUCCUUCUUGUUCCCUCUGUAAUAUCUCACCCUUAACGUAGAGAGAACUUUGGAUUUGGAAUAACGACGAGUGUCAGGGACGAGCAAACUUGUGUUAGCUCGCUCGUUCGUUCGUUCACAGGUAUGCAUAUAUGAGUACAUUUCUGUUCGAUAGAAGAAGAGUUUUUGACUAUGGGAUAUUUGCGAGAGAGAGAGAGAGAGAGAGAGAGAGAGAGAGAGAGAACGCGCAUGCAAGCGCUAGAUCUUUUCUUCUCGCAGAAUAUUUUGAAGGUCUCUCUUUCUCUUUCACCUACUCUAGUAUAUACACCAUCUAACUUUUCUACCUACUUUAAUUUCUUAUAUGUACAUAUGUAUGUAUGUAUGUAUAUAUGUAUAUAGAUGCCAGCAGGACAUUGCCGAUCAUGUUGUAGUAAAACGUUUGCAGCUUGCCCCAACCAACGGCCUAUAUGUAGGACCGUCACCCCAAGAAGGAACAUUUUUCUUUGUUCGACAUCGUCCGUCCGUAGCCUUUUGUAACGUCAAGACAAAUGCACCGUAUGGGUUUUACAGAUCGUAGAAGAAGCCCCAGAUGGCAAGCGCCGCGUCCGAUCUUCUGUUUAAAAUUUGAACCACGCCGGUAUCGCGCUCGUUUUCCUUAACACCACCUGCUCGCACUCGACCGUCCUCGCAAUUUAUUUAUUGAUUCAUGAAAAUAUUAAAGUAAACGUUAUUACAUACGUACGAUAAUGAUCGAUGAACAUAGCAACGUUAGAAACAAAAAGAAUUCGAAAGUAAAUGUUUUAGGGACAAGUUUGAAAAGAUCUUUGUUCGUCAAGGAAAUGGGUCUGCUAUGGAAGCGUAUAAAUGCUCAGUGUGCGAGCACUGUGUUCUUUACGGAUAGCCGGAAGUUGAAUGUACGUAAUGUUUCUGGGCGCGCCUGCUAAAGCUAUUUUUCGCUUCACUGGCAAAUAAAAACAAUAUAAUGAUUGAGCAUAACUUGAUGCGCAUACUUAAAA